rnacentral:rRNA from 1 species
AUUGAACGCUGGCGGCAUGCCUAACACAUGCAAGUCGAACGGCAGCACAGCAGUAGCAAUACUGUGGGUGGCGAGUGGCGGACGGGUGAGGAAUACGUCGGAAUCUGCCCAGUCGUGGGGGAUAACUAGCCGAAAGGUUAGCUAAUACCGCAUACGACCGAGAGGUGAAAGCGGGGGACCGCAAGGCCUCGCGCGAUUGGAUGAGCCGACGUCGGAUUAGCUAGUUGGCGGGGUAAAGGCCCACCAAGGCGACGAUCCGUAGCUGGUCUGAGAGGAUGAUCAGCCACACUGGAACUGAGACACGGUCCAGACUCCUACGGGAGGCAGCAGUGGGGAAUAUUGGACAAUGGGCGCAAGCCUGAUCCAGCAAUGCCGCGUGUGUGAAGAA